rnacentral:rRNA from 1 species
GACAGAGGGUGCAAACGUUGUUCGGAAUUACUGGGCGUAAAGCGCAUGUAGGCGGCCUAGCAGGUCGGAUGUGAAAUCCCUCGGCUCAACCAAGGAAGUGCAUUCGAAACCGCAAGGCUGGAGUCCCGGAGAGGAUGGUGGAAUUCUCGGUGUAGAGGUGAAAUUCGUAGAUAUCGAGAGGAACACCGGCGGCGAAGGCGGCCAUCUGGACGAGGACUGACGCUGAGAUGCGAAAGCGUGGGGAGCAAAC